CCCUUAGAUGUUCUGGGCCGCACGCGCGCUACACUGAUGCAUUCAACAAGCCUAGCCUUGACCGAGAGGUCCGGGUAAUCUUUGAAACUGCAUCGUGAUGGGGCUAGAUUAUUGCAAUUAUUAAUCUUCAACGAGGAAUGCCUAGUAAGCGUGAUUCAUCAAAUCGCGUUGAUUACGUCCCUGCCCUUUGUACACACCGCCCGUCGCUCCUACCGAUUGAAUGGUCCGGUGAAAUCUCGGGACGGCGGCUUGGUCGCUUGCGUCCGACUGCUGAAACUUGAUUAAACCAUAUCAUUUAGAGGAAGGUGAAGUCGUANCA
rnacentral:rRNA from 1 species